GGUCGGGUCCCAUGCGACGCGUCUCAAACGAACCCCGUCAGGUCCGGAAGGAAGCAGCGGUAGUUGUGAGAAGUGUGUGCUGUGGGGUGCCUGGCCUUU
rnacentral:SRP_RNA from 1 species